rnacentral:rRNA from 1 species
UACAGAGGUCUCAAGCGUUGUUCGGAUUCAUUGGGCGUAAAGGGUGCGUAGGUGGCGCUGUAAGUCGGGUGUGAAAUUUCGGAGCUUAACUCCGAAACUGCAUUCGAUACUGCGGUGCUUGAGGACUGGAGAGGAGACUGGAAUUCAUGGUGUAGCAGUGAAAUGCGUAGAGAUCAUGAGGAAGACCAGUGGCGAAGGCGGGUCUCUGGACAGAUACCGACGCUGAGGCACGAAAGCUAGGGGGAGCAAACAGG